AUGCUAAAGACCGAAGCUCAACUUCGGGGGUGCGUUGGAUACUGUGAGGCUAGACGGUCGGAGAGGGUAGCGGAAUUUCCGGAGUAGCGGUGAAAUGCGCAGAUACCGGAAGGAACGCCGAUAGCGAAAGCAGCUACCUGGACGAUUUGUGACGCUGAGGCGCGAAAGCGUGGGGAGCAAACCGGAUUAGAUACCCGGGUAGUCCACGCCCUAAACGAUGAGUGCUGGGUGUCCGAAUCUGUUGGGUGCCGUAGCUAACGCGUUAAGCACUCCACCUGGGAAGUACGGUCGCAAGACUGAAACUCAAAGGAAUUGACGGGGGCCCGCACAAGCGGUGGAGCAUGUGGUUUAAUUCGAAGCAACGCGCAGAACCUUACCAGGUCUUGACAUCCACGGAACCCUGGUGAAAGCCGGGGGUGCCGCGAGGAGCCGUGAGACAGGUGCUGCAUGGUCGUCGUCAGCUCGUGUCGUGAGAUGUUGGGUUAAGUCCCGCAACGAGCGCAACCCUUGUUGCUAGUUGCCAUCAGUUCGGCUGGGCACUCUAGCGAGACUGCCUACGAAAGUAGGAGGAAGGCGGGGAUGACGUCUGAUCCGCAUGGCCCUUACGACCUGGGCGACACACGUGCUACAAUGCCUGCCACAAAGCGCUGCGACCCGGCAACGGGAAGCCAAUCGCACAAAAGCAGGCUCAGUUCGGAUUGGGGUCUGCAACUCGACCCCAUGAAGCUGGAAUCGCUAGUAAUCG
rnacentral:rRNA from 1 species